rnacentral:rRNA from 1 species
CAGUAGCCACGGUAAUACGUAGGGUGCGAGCGUUAAUCGGAAUUACUGGGCGUAAAGCGUGCGCAGGCGGUUGUGUAAGACAGGUGUGAAAUCCCCGGGCUUAACCUGGGAACUGCGCUUGUGACUGCACAGCUAGAGUAUGGCAGAGGGGGGUGGAAUUUCACGUGUAGCAGUGAAAUGCGUAGAGAUGUGGAGGAAUACCGAUGGCGAAGGCAGCCCCCUGGGCCAAUACUGACGCUCAUGCACGAAAGCGUGGGGAGCAAACAGGAUUAGAUACCCGCGUAGUCCCUGUCUCUUAUAC